UCCGGUUUGGCACCGGCAGUCCUUCCAGAGUCCUCGGCUUUACCCGGUAGCAACUGGAAGCGAGGGUUGCGCUCGUUGCGGGACUUAACCCAACAUCUCACGACACGAGCUGACGACAACCAUGCACCACCUGUGUACCGACCUUGCGGGGAGCACAUCUCUGCACUUUUCCGGCACAUGUCAAACCCAGGUAAGGUUCUUCGCGUUGCCUCGAAUUAAACAACAUGCUCCGCUGCUUGUGCGGGCCCCCGUCAAUUCCUUUGAGUUUUAACCUUGCGGCCGUAGUCCCCAGGCGGUGAACUUAAUGCGUUAGCUGCGGCACUGAUCGGGUCAAUCCGACCAACACCUAGUUCACAACGUUUAGGGCGUGGACUAC
rnacentral:misc_RNA from 1 species